CAGAUUGUAUUCCAUUAAUUUUAAUAAAACAUUGCUAAAUCACCAGAAUUUUCCAUGACUACACAUCAUAAGGAUUGAUGAUAAAAUUGUUGUUAUGAGAUGUAAAGGAGCAAGAAUCACGAUACCUACUGUUCAUUUAAGAGAACAUACUUUAAUUGGAAAGUAAAUUGAAGCAUUGUAGGAUUUUUUUAAAUUUAGUUGUUUCUAGAAGAAAAUUUAAAGAUUUUAUUCAUGCGAAUUUACCUACAACCAAUUUAUGAUUGGUGACUUUUGGCUCUCAAUUGCUGUUUCACAUAAAUGAAAGCCAAACGUGGAGACAAAUGGAUAGGAACCUUCCACUGCCUUAUCUCCUUAGGGAAGGCUUUUAGGAGAAGGAAAUAAGAAAGAGAUCAGCUGAGGAAUGUCAGUUUCCAGGAGAAUGGUUAAGAGAAUGUGGUGUGGUUGUUAAGUGAGAGUAUAUUUUCAGCAUUUUUAAACUAAAGUGGCACAUGGAGGCCUUCAGAAAAGCAUGGAAAAAUAUCAAGAAAUGUGCUCGAAUAGUUCCUACAAACAAGACAACUAGGAGAAAUUUUUCACUGGCCCAAGUAAUACACUGUACCUAUAUGGCAUUCAACUUUUGAAGCAAGAAAUGCUUUUCUCAAUGGACAAAAAGGAACAUUAAAUGAGUGUUUAUUGAAGCUGUAGUAUUUCCCCAUCAGAGGCUUAUAUUGGCAAACUUCUACCACCUUAAGUAUUUAGCCAAAUUAGCUGUUACAUUUUAAAAUGCCGUAUCUUCAACCAAGCAGUAGCUUUUGUUACUGCCCUGAAUCUCUGCUAAUCAUAUAAUUUUUCACCCACUUUCUGUUUCUUGCUUUAUGAUCUUCUCCCAUCUUCUCCCCCAUAAAACACAAACAUCAGGGCCUACUGCACUAUUUCCAAUUUAAAAAACUAUAUGACCCUGAAAUCUAGAUUCUGUAGUCAGAAAGAUCCACCCUUCCCUUCAUAAAUACAGCUGCAGGUUUUUCUUUUUUUUUUUCUUAGACUGUAAGUUACAGCACAAAGAGUAUGGAAUCCAUUAUAUAGGCCUACAUAGACAAAGAGCAGUAGAAAAUUUAAUAAUUCAUCCGAAUAUUCACUAGCAAAAAAAUGCAAUGGAAAGUGGUUGGCAAAAGGUACACGGUAACAACUGAAAUGACCAAAGCUAAUGACAGCUGCCAGUUUCUCAUUUUUCUCCCAUCUCUUGGAUAUACAGCCUGCUGUGAGAGGGAGAGAGACGUUUACUGAUCCUGUCCUCCUGGUGGUAGCUAGGUUCUUCACAUUCUCUGAACACAACCGAACACCAUCCCAACCUAGCAUAUUUUCAUAAAAACGUGGAUAUGUUAUGGGUUAGAUUCACCUCUGCCUAAUCUAACUCAUUUCUACAGGCUGCACAGAACAUGGUUGUGGACUGCCACAAUUGUGUUGCUAGGAUUCCUCCCUCUCUGCGAUGAGCAUGAGGAGAAAACCUGGAAACAAGCACAUGACUCUUACUGCCAUGCAUUUUAUACUUACAUGGUUAACAUGCCUAGCAUUUUUACAAAAAAUACAUGAUAUUUGAAAAUACAGAGAAAUUGACAGUUAAAAUCGUGUAUUCCAUUGAUAGAUAAGAAAAACGAGACAUCAGGGUACUGUCAGUCACUUUUAUCACUGAUACUUUUAAAUGUGGUAUUUGGAAACUUUUGAAAAUCAAUAUAGAGCAAAUAAUAUCCGGUAGUAAUAUUGUAUUUGAGAUGUGCAAGGUGGUAGGGUCUAAUUCCUAAGGGUUGCUGAUAAUUUGACAAAAACUUUCUAUGCUAUCCAAGCAGUUGAAGGAUAUUUUGUAUACCAUGUGAUGCUCCAUCAUGCUUUGUAAUAAAAGUAAGAGCAUUUAAACAUUACACAUCUUUAAAACUAAAGACAGGAAUUUGACCAAAUGGCUUGUAUUGUCUACAGUUGCAAUUCCCAUACGCUAAUUUCCUUUUUUAUUUUAAAUUCUCAAGUCCUUAAACCUUUCACUACAGUGACCUUCUUCUUAAGCACAUGGCUUUCUCCAAAUGACAGUAGCUAGUGAGAAGAUCUGAUUCCAUACAUCUGUCAAGCUAGGUGAAGAUGGUCCAGAGUGAAAAGCUGAGUGUUUCAGAAAACUUCACAAAUAAUAAGAAGGUGUGAAUGGGCUUCAGAGUGAGAGGCAACAGUAACUUUGCUGCUUGAGGACCCUCUCACCUCUGGAAAGUGUUGAGCUCUGAACGGUGUCAUGUGUCUCAGUAGCUUAGUCCUCCCUCAAAUAUUCAGAGUUUUUAAGGUGGUGGAGAUGGAAUCCAGGGCCUCACACAUGCUGGCCUGAAACAAAGGAUUCCCCUGCCUUACCCUGCAGAGUCCAGUGGGAUUCCUGGCCUGCACCACUGUGCCUGGCUCACAUAUUCAAACUGCUGAUUGCAGGAACCCGGAGCCUGGACUGGAACCCAGAGACCUGGGCAGAGUUUGAAUUGACAGCCCGGACUCCUGAUGAGCAGUAAUCCCCCUGCUUCUGUUUCCCCGUGGCCUCCAUGCCGUGCUUUGGAAGGAGGAGAAGUCAAGCCAGAGAGACGCGACAGUGGAGAGCAAACCCUGGUGCAUUCAUGUCUCUGCCUGGCCCCUCUUCCUGUCAUUUACUUGUCUCUCAAGGCGUUUUUGUCUGUCUCCCUGCUAGAAUCUAAGUUCCAGGAGGCCAGGGAUGUUUGAUUGUCCUGUGCCUCGCUGUGUUCCCAAACCCCGGGCAGUGACUGGCACACACCUAUCGCUCAACAAAUGCUCAAAGGGGAAAAAAUGUGGGGAUAAUUGAUUUAGAAAAACGUGGGUAAUAAAGAAAAUGUUGUUGGAGAACAAGCCAUUUCAAGUCUUGAUUUACACAGGUAAAUUUAACUGGAAAAAGUUACUAAAAUAUUUCAUAGGGUUUUUCCCCAAAUUAUUAUUUUUUAUUGAUAUAUAUAGUCCAUCUACCAUUAAAAUUAACCCAUUUAAAGCAUAUGUUCCUAUGGUUUUUGGUAUUAUAGAAAGAUUUUCACUAUCUUUUUCAAAGUAUCAACUAUUACAUAUAUAAACUCAGUAUCUGAUGAGACAUGAGAACUGGCCACACAGACAUGUGAAAAAUAUCAGUUCCACCAAACGUCAUUAUUAGACAGUCUUUAGUGACUCUGACACUGAAGUCGUGAAUUGCUAAUAACUAGGGUUUUUCCGUAUGGAAAUCCACAUAAUCCUCUUUAAGUAAUUAAUCACUGUCAAUGCUUAUACUUAAACUUGUAUGAAAAAAUGAUACUCAGAUUGGUUCUGUAUGAUAAAUGCAUAUGAAAACAAUAAAAUUCUAAUUCCGAU
rnacentral:lncRNA from 1 species